UGGGGAAUAUUGGACUAUGGGCGAAAGCCUGAUCCAGCCAUGCUGCGUGUGUGAAGAAGGUCUUCGGAUUGUAAAGCACUCUAAGUUGGGAGGAAGGGCAGUAAGCGAAUACCUUGCUGUUUUGACGUUACCGACAGAAUAAGCACCGGCUAACUCUGUGCCAGCAGCCGCGGUAAUACAGAGGGUGCAUGCGUUAAUCGGAAUUACUGGGCGUAAAGCGCGCGUAGGUGGUUCGUUAAGUUGAAUGUGAAAGCCCCGGGCUCCACCUGGGAACUGCAUCCAAAACUGGCGAGCUAGAGUAGGGCAGAGGGUAGUGGAAUUUCCUGUGUAGCGGUGAGAUGCGUAGAUAUAGGAAGGAACACCAGUGACGAAGGCGACCACCUGGGCUAAUACUGACACUGAGAUGCGAAAGCGUGGGGAGCAAAGAGG
rnacentral:rRNA from 1 species